rnacentral:tRNA from 1 species
UACAGGGGGCUCAGUGGCAGAGCACUUGCCUAGCACGUGUGAGGCCCUGGGUUCGAUCCUCAGCACCACAUGUAA